rnacentral:lncRNA from 1 species
UUUAAUAUUUCAUCCUAACCAUCCAUUGAUAUUUUGAAAAAUCUUGACCGAUGAUCUCAAAAGGAUAUUUUAGAAAAGAAAAAAGUAUCACUACUUUCCAUCCUAUUGGAAGUGAUAAAACCUAUCUCUUCCAUAGGUUUUCACUUCGCAUGAAAUGUGGGAAGUGACUUUUCAUGAAUUUUUUUUUUCAUUUUCUCUUCUUUUAAAACUUCAACCAAAUAAGAAGUCUUCUUUUUACUUCUCAGAAAAUGCCUCUCUCCUCUCCACUUUCCGUCAACCAAACGAGUCCCUGGUAUUGCUAAAGACAUUGACGUGCUUUUGUGUUAUUGGACUUGCUGCAAAUAGAGAAACACGAGAAUCUUAUCAAACCAAGGUAAUUCAGAAUAGGAAGUGAGAAAUUCUAACCUUAUACCCUCUAGUCACUUAUAUAUUUUAUGCAAUCAAAAUUGCAUAAGGUAGAUAAAUCGUUGAUAUAUUUUUCCUUUUGUUACCCUCUCCCCUUUGUAAUUCUUUUCUGUUUCAAUAAAUUUGUACUAAUUACCAAACAAUAACAAAUUUGCAACUUACUUUUCUUUCUUUAAAAAAAAAUCCUAAUUAGAAUUAUAAAUUAUGCCCCACGAAAUCAAGUUGAGUCAAGCCAAAAUAACUAAAUACUCAAGCUUGACUCGAUUUCAAACACUCG